UGGGGAAUAUUGCACAAUGGGCGCAAGCCUGAUGCAGCCAUGCCGCGUGUAUGAAGAAGGCCUUCGGGUUGUAAAGUACUUUCAGCGAGGAGGAAGGCGUUGUGGUUAAUAACCGCAGCGAUUGACGUUACUCGCAGAAGAAGCACCGGCUAACUCCGUGCCAGCAGCCGCGGUAAUACGGAGGGUGCAAGCGUUAAUCGGAAUUACUGGGUGUAAAGCGCACGCAGGCGGUCUGUCAAGGCGGAUGUGAAAUCCCCGGGCUCAACCUGGGAACUGCAUCCGAAACUGGCAGGCUAGAGUCUUGUAGAGGGGGGUAGAAUUCCAGGUGUAGCGGUGAAAUGCGUAGAGAUCUGGAGGAAUACCGGUGGCGAAGGCGGCCCCCUGGACAAAGACUGACGCUCAGGUGCGAAAGCGUGGGGAGCAAACA
rnacentral:rRNA from 1 species